UAGGGAAUCUUCGGCAAUGGACGAAAGUCUGACCGAGCAACGCCGCGUGAGUGAAGAAGGUUUUCGGAUCGUAAAACUCUGUUGUUAGAGAAGAACAAGGACGUUAGUAACUGAACGUCCCCUGACGGUAUCUAACCAGAAAGCCACGGCUAACUACUUGCCAGCAGCCGCGGUAAUACGUAGGUGGCAAGCGUUGUCCGGAUUUAUUGGGCGUAACGCGAGCGCAGGCGGUUUCUUAAGUCUGAUGUGAAAGCCCCCGGCUCAACCGGGGAGGGUCAUUGGAAACUGGGAGACUUGAGUGCAGAAGAGGAAAGUGGAAUUCCAUGUGUAGCGGUGAAAUGCGUAGAUAUAUGGAGGAACCCCAGUGGCGAAAGCGGCUCUCUGGUCUGUAACUGACGCUGAGGCUCGAAAGCGUGGGGAGCAAACAGG
rnacentral:rRNA from 1 species